AUUGAACGCUGGCGGCAGGCCUAACACAUGCAAGUCGAACGGUAACAGGAAACAGCUUGCUGUUUCGCUGACGAGUGGCGGACGGGUGAGUAAUGUCUGGGAAACUGCCUGAUGGAGGGGGAUAACUACUGGAAACGGUAGCUAAUACCGCAUAACGUCGCAAGACCAAAGAGGGGGACCUUCGGGCCUCUUGCCAUCGGAUGUGCCCAGAUGGGAUUAGCUAGUAGGUGGGGUAACGGCUCACCUAGGCGACGAUCCCUAGCUGGUCUGAGAGGAUGACCAGCCACACUGGAACUGAGACACGGUCCAGACUCCUACGGGAGGCAGCAGUGGGGAAUAUUGCACAAUGGGCGCAAGCCUGAUGCAGCCAUGCCGCGUGUAUGAAGAAGGCCUUCGGGUUGUAAAGUACUUUCAGCGGGGAGGAAGGGAGUAAAGUUAAUACCUUUACUGAUUGACGUUACCCGCAGAAGAAGCACCGGCUAACUCCGUG
rnacentral:rRNA from 1 species